rnacentral:rRNA from 1 species
UGAGGAAUAUUGGUCAAUGGACGCAAGUCUGAACCAGCCAUGCCGCGUGAAGGAUUGAAGGCCCUAUGGGUUGUAAACUUCUUUUAUACGGGACGAAACCCCCCGACGUGUCGGGGGCUGACGGUACUGUAGGAAUAAGCAUCGGCUAACUCCGUGCCAGCAGCCGCGGUAAUACGGAGGAUGCAAGCGUUAUCCGGAUUCAUUGGGUUUAAAGGGUGCGUAGGCGGAAUAGAAAGUCAGUGGUGAAAGCCUGCGGCUUAACCGUAGAACUGCCAUUGAUACUAUUAUUCUUGAGUACAGUUGAGGUGGAUGGAAUGUGUAGUGUAGCGGUGAAAUGCUUAGAUAUUACACAGAACGCCAAUUGCGAAGGCAAUUCACUAAGCUGUUACUGACGCUGAGG